UACGGAGGGUCCAAGCGUUAUCCGGAAUCAUUGGGUUUAAAGGGUCCGUAGGCGGUUUAGUAAGUCAGUGGUGAAAGCCCAUCGCUCAACGGUGGAACGGCCAUUGAUACUGCUAAACUUGAAUUAUUAGGAAGUAACUAGAAUAUGUAGUGUAGCGGUGAAAUGCUUAGAUAUUACAUGGAAUACCAAUUGCGAAGGCAGGUUACUACUAAUGGAUUGACGCUGAUGGACGAAAGCGUGGGUAGCGAACAGG
rnacentral:rRNA from 1 species